UACGUAGGUGGCAAGCGUUAUCCGGAUUUACUGGGUGUAAAGGGAGCGUAGACGGCAAUACAAGUCGGAAGUGAAAUACCCGGGCUUAACCUGGGAACUGCUUUGGAAACUGUAUGGCUGGAGUGCUGGAGAGGUAAGCGGAAUUCCUAGUGUAGCGGUGAAAUGCGUAGAUAUUAGGAGGAACACCAGUGGCGAAGGCGGCUUACUGGACAGUAGCUGACGUUGAGGCUCGAAAGCGUGGGGAGCAAACAGG
rnacentral:rRNA from 1 species